GAUCAUUUGGAUCAGGAGUUGAUCUGGCUAAAACCUAAUUCUGCAAAUGAGUAAGUGAGAAAGAUUUAUAUUUAACUCAGUUCACUUAUCUAAUCAAGUUCUCUGCAAAGCCCUACAAACUGUUGUACUGGCAAAAUGAGGGAAUGAUGGAGGAAUGGAAAUGAGUAACCUGAGUUAUAGCUACUCAGAUCACUCAAAUGGGAUCAUUUCUGUUUGCUGUUUGAAUGGGCAUGUGAACACCGCUGGCAAGAACUCUUGCAUGUGCAGAUGCAAAAUAUAUUCCUGUGCUCUAAGGGCAGAUAAGAUGACCUAGGGAACUAGCGACCUGUCAGCCUCAUCUCUGUGCCGGACAAGAUCAUGGAAAAGAUCUCCCCAGGAGCUAGGCUAAGGCACAUGGAAGAGAGAGAGGUGAUGCAAGACAACCAGCAUGGUUUCACCAUGAACAACCUAGUGGCCUUCUAUGAUGAUGUAAAUGCAUCAGUGGACAAGGGAAAAUAACUUGAUGUCAUCUAUCCAGAAUUCAGUUAAGUCUUUGAUACAGUCCCCCAAAAUUCCCUUCUCUCCAAAUUGUAGAGAUGUGGACUUGAUAGAUAGCCUGUUCAAUGGAUGAGAAACUGGUUGCAAGACUGCACCCAGAGAGUGGUUGUCAAUAGCUCAAUGUUCAGAUGGAGAUAAGUGAUGAGUGGCGUCUCUCAGGAGUCAGUACUGGGACCAAUGCUGUUUAACGUUGUAUGGCAAACAGGUAGUAGACCACAGAGAUUAUUGCAUCACAAAGUAAAAAUGAAAUAAAGAUCUUACCCAUUUCCUGGGCUCACAGAAGAGCUCCAAGAGGAGCAAUCUCCAGAUAGAGAUCCUUCCUCCUUGGGAGUCAGCCCUUAAAUGGGGUCUAGGAGAGGUGGAGCAGGCUCCACCCCUUCCAGUCACUCAGGUGAAAUUGCGUUCACCUGUGCCCCUGCAGAUGACUCAGCGCUUGUCUCAGGUGGUCAAUCAGAGGUUCAGGCUAGGAUUCAACAGUUCCCGUACAAAUAUCUUCAUCAGUGAUGUCAACAGUGGGAUUGAGUGCACCCUCAGCAAGUCUGUAGAUGACACAAAGCUGUAUGGUACAACUUAUAUGUCCAAGGAAUAAGAUGCCAUCCAAAGAGAUCUAGAUAGGAUAAAGCAGUGGGCCCAGGAGAACCUCAUGAGGUUCAAUAAAUUCAAGUGCAAGGUCUUGUCCUGCAUCACAGCAACCAUUUGUAUAAUAAUCACAUGGGGAAUGAAAGGAUACAGCACAGCCUUGCCAUAAAGGACUUGGAGGUACUGGUGAAUAUGAACCAGCAAUGUGCCUUCACAGCCCAGAAAGCCAACUGUAUUCUGGGCCACAUCAAAAGAAAUGUGGCCAGCAGGGCAAGGGAGGUGAUCCUGCCCCUCUACUCUGCACCAAGGAGACUUCAUGAGGAGUGCUGUGUUCAGACGUAGAGUCGUCUGUACAGGAGAGACAUGGACCUGUUAGAAUGAGUCCAGAGGAGGGCCACAAAAUGAACCAAGGGAUGGAACACCUCCCAUACAAGGACAGGAUGAGAGAGCUGGGGCUGUUCAGCCUGGGGAGAGGAAAGCUUUGGGAAGACCUGACAGCUGCCUUUUAGUAUCUAAACGAGGGCUAUAAGAAAGAAAAGGGACAAACUGUUUUUCAGGAUCUGCUAUGAUAGGAUAGGGGCAAAUGGCUUCAGACUAAAAGAGGAGAUACUUAUGUUGGGUAUAAGGAAGACAUUUUUUUCUGAUAACAGUGGUGAGGCACUGGACUGGGUUGCCCAGAGGGGUAGUGAAUGCACUGUUCUUAGGGACAUUCAAGGUCAGGAUAGACCAGGCUCUGAGCAACCUGAUCUAGCUAUAGAUCCCCUUCAUUGCAAGGGAUGGGACUAGAUGACCUUUAAAGGUCCCUUCUAACUCAAAUGAUUCUAUAAUAUCCCAAGUUGGAAGAGACCCACAAGAAUCAGUGUGUUCAGCUCUUGAGUCUACCCAAGACUACUCAAAAAUUCUGAAAGUGUUGUCCAAAUGCUUUUUGAACCCUGUCAAGUUUGGUGCUGUGACCAUUGCUCUGAGGAGCCUGUUUCAGGGCCCAACCACCCACUCUGUAAAGAAACCCUGACAUAGCUCUAUCCCAUUCCCUCAGGUCCUGUCUCUGCCACCAGGAAGCAGAGAUCAGUGUUGCCCCUCCACUCUCCUCGUGAGGCAACUGUAGUCUUUUAUGAGGUCUCCUCUCAGUAUUCUGUUCCAAUAUUUUGGAAAUAUAUGUGUUGUUUUUUUUUUUCUUCCUGUAAUGCUAAAUUACCACAACAUUUUACAUUGUUGAUGUAAUUCUGGCAUAUAAGAGAGAAACUGAUGUCUUUCUUUUAAAAAUACUUUUAAAACAAACUGAAUUUAAGUUGAAAAAAAAAUAUUAUACGAUUGCAUCAAUUCAAAGCUCCUUCUUACUUGCAGGAUCUUCAUUUAUUUAAUGCAACUUUAGAUGUAUAAUGCUGAUUAAUGUAGUUGUUCUUUACUGACUAAAUGAUCUCCACUGAACUGCAAAGUUCAUAAAGGAAGAUGAUUAAUUCAUAACUGUAUUGUUUAUGCUGUCUUUUCUAAAGAAAGCAUUCCAAUUAUCAUUUAAAUAAUAGUACUUGGUUCUAAAAUUGACCAAAUAUGCAAAUAUUCUACUUCUGUUCUAACUGAGCCAUUAUGUUCCAAAGAAGAUCAAAAAACGAUGGGCCAGUCAUGUGCCGAUUUAUAGUUGUGUGAUGCAUAAGGUAGUCUUGCAUAAGGAAAAUAACUUUGAAUUUACACCAGAUAAUCAGAUGCGAGCCAUUGUAAUGAAUAUCUCUGGGAAACUUUGACAUGUUAUCUUUGAAAAUAUGAUAUUCACUUACUGCUAGGAAGGAAUGACUUAAAUCACAAACUUGGGGCAUUAGUUUCCUUAGGCUGUUUCACUUUCAGGACAUAAAUCUAGAUUUGAAAGGACUGCCAGCUAUCUCAAUUUCCAUUAACAACUGGGGAGCUUCAGCAAUCUAGAUAUUCAUGCAGUACACUGCAGAUAAACCACUAAGUACAGAAAAUGUUCAUUCAUGCAGCACACAUAAAACUAAAACUCCACUCCUUAUGAGAAAAAUCAAAACACCCCAAAUUAAAGCAACAGCAACCCCACUCCCUUUUCCCCAGGCAAAGCUGCAAAGUCAGCAGUUCAACACUUUGUUUCCCUUCAGCUGUAUGGUCACAAAUUAAUGGGGUGGAGGCAUGAUAACUAUGAAGGAAUUUGGGAUGUUUUCAUUAUUGCUGGGCAAAUCACUCUUGAAAAGUAAGCAUCUCUUUUAUGCAUAGAUCAAGUGAACUUGGCAGCAGCAAUGUCAUUGAUGCUAACUGUGUGUGACAGGAAACAAAGCCAUGUGACUGCUGUGUUUUGUAAGUCUAGCUCUUGUGUAAGAUUCUGGUACAUUCUUUUCUAGCUAUUCUUUCAGAAAUUUGAACUUUUAAUUAAAAGGCAACACUGAAGCAUGUCCAGUGCCGACAGUCUUAAUGCUGUUUCUUCUCCAUAUUAACAUGCAACCAGCUUCAGUCAGUGUGCAAGGAGAUACUGUAUAAUUAGCGUCAUUGUCCAUUAUGAACAAAUAUGUGUUUUGGUGAGGAAGAGAAUGUACUAGUGUUUUCUAAUCAAACAAUCAGGAGUUGGAAUUUUCAGCUUUUAGCGGUCAUGUUGCUUUCUCAUAAACAUCGUAUUGACCACUUUAUUCUAUGAGUUCAAAUGAAGUACACAUGUCAAAAUCAGGUUGUUUGUAAGGAUAUCUAAGUUAUUAAAAAUUAUUCAACUAAAAAAUCUGAAAUGCAACAUUUAUUACAAUAAAUAUUUAUAGCAAAUAUUGAUAUGUGAACAGAUAGCCAGAUGCUGGUCUCAGGGAAGAUGAGCUAUAAUAUAUAUUUUAUAAUAUGCAUGGUUAUUUAACACACUAGAAUUCAUUUCACUGAUAAGCAAAGAGCUUGGUAAUGCAUGUUUAUCAAGGAUCUUCAAUAAUAUGUAAUACUGACUUUUAGUAGGACAAACCUAGGGACUUGUAUGACAUGACAUGAUAUACUUAAUGCACCAGCUGGUGAACUGAGUGUUGGGAUUGAAUUCUGAAAUGAAUUUGGGGUGAUAAAUUAGAAACACAUUAAAUGUCAUGAAGUAGUGAGUAGAAAAACUAGAAAAUAUGUUUGUUUAGGAAGCUUAAUUUUUCCUUUGCUUGAAUUCUGGACUUGUAUUAUGCAUGAAUAGUGAAACUCCUAAUUUUUAAAAAUUUUCGUACUGUCAUUCUAGUUUAUGAAUUAAAUAUCUUGCAAUAGUAGCAUAAAACUAUAGGAUUAUAUUCUGAUUUUCAGACGGACUAUACAUAUAUUGUUAAUUUUCAUGGAAUUUGUAAUGAAAAUAUUACAGAAAUAAAAUCAAUUUCUACACAGAUUAUUAAAUAAUCUUAUGGAAUCAAUACUUACAGUAUAUUUGAAAAAGCAACAAUAUUUGAAAAUGUAUCCAAAGUAUUUUUGCAAAAUCCUCAAGAAAUAAUCACUUAUAUCUUAUGUCUUCACCUCCAAAGACCACCAAUCCUUGGUAAAAGUUGGUCUGGACAUAUACACAAAUUAACAUAUAGAGGAAGUAGUAAUUCAAAGCUAUCAUUACAACAUUUGGACACUUCUGGAUUAUUCAUUACUUCUUGAGAUGAUGGUCUGGCUUCUGACAGCUUUAUAGAUGGCUUAACAAAAAGAGCAGAUCAAUAUGCAGAAACAAUCUAAAAGGGACUAUCUGACCAGGAGAUCAUGGUCAGGUGCAUAGUAAUCUGCUGUUUGUUUGCAUCACUAAAUCAUUAUACAAAUACAUUAUGUUAGAUGUUCCUUCACGGACACAAAUAUUGUACUCAUAAGAAACCACAUUAUGAUCCAGACUUGCCCAUACAGCUGUGAUUCCUGCAGGAAGAAACCAGUUACUUGGUUUAGUUCAACCCCUUCCUGUCCAGGAUGAUUAACCCACUCUAUAUUUUCCUUUCUGCAUUUCACGAUUUAACACUACUCUUUUCUUCAACUGCCUCAACACUUUUGAAAAUUCAGAUGAGGGCAAGGACUACAUUGGGAGUGAAAUUCUGCUACAGAAAUGGGUAAUGUAAAGGUUUUUCAGGUAAGUGGCUGUCUUUCCAAUGAUUUCAGCUGGCUUUGUUGACUAAUGACAUAAAAUGGAAGAUUGCUUCAAAUGUAUCUACAGCUGCAUUUAGUCAUUAUUUUAAUGAAGAAGGAGAUAGGAAGAGCAUCUGUAAACAGUUACUCUGUUACCAUGCCAAUGUUUUGGUAGCUUCUGAGAUUGUGCAUAAACUAUGCAGUCUGCAUAAUAAUGUAAUUAGUUCAUCAGUGUACAGAAGCCUGACAGUAUUUUUAACAGGAAAACUUUAAAUAUUUUAAAUUUCUAUUUCUAUGGUUUCCACUGGAUUGUUUUUACAAAAUUUGAAGGCCUGAUAUUUCCAUGAAUCUGAUGCACUAUAGACAGAAAUCAAGGAGGAAAAUGUUCCAGCAUCGACCAUGAAUUUCGAUCUACAUUAACGAGUAGUUUUGAUUUCCUCAUUUUUAUUUUUAUUUUUAAAAAGCUCAGUCCUCUUCUUUGCGCUGAGAAUCAGAUUUCCACCAGUCUGUUUAGUUGCUCGCUCAAAAUACAUUGUGUGUUUAAGAGGUACAUGCAAUUUUUUCUCCCAAAACGAGUUAAGCAAACUGUGAUUUCGUGAUGCACCUAAAGCUUUCAGCAGGUGAACUAUUUCAAGUUCUUUAUAAUUCUUCCACUAGAAGUGACAUCGUGGCUCCUUUUAUUCUGCAAAAAAUUUAAGAACCUUCACUGUUAUUAAGAACACGCCAACAUUCCAUACUUGAUCUUCAACUAACGUGAAGCACUAAAAGUUGCAUGACAUGGAUAAAUUCAUUUCAGAAAGCUUUGACUGUCUACUGACUGACUCUGGUUAUGAAAGAUUGUCACGAAGCAGAUUUUAAUUCUGUUAUCUCUGAACAGCUGAGCAGCUUGGUAACUGCUGUUAAACGCACUUUCCAGUGUCUAAUGCAUGAAGCAAACCAUGUCUUACCCUCUGGGAUCUUGAUCAGCAGGGUGGAACAGCUGGUGUUUAUUACUGAUGGGUUAGCCCCAGAGAAUUUAGGGGUCCACUGAGUUGGUUUAAAGUGUGCAUUCUCUCGGUACCUAAUAAAAAAUUGUAUAUUUUCUGAUAAUCACACAUUUAAGUUACUAGUAACUCAGUGUUAGACUGAUAAUGUUUAACUGAAGUCCAUCUUUAUAUCAACCCUUGAGAAUCUUUCCAAAAUCAAUUAAAAUAAAAGCAAUAAGUGGUAAUAUUUUACCAUAUAAGCUUUAGAAGACUUACUUUACUGAAAACAGUUGCAGAAGCCUCAUAUUGAUAUGUAUAAGUAAUGACUGCCCAUUUGCCCAAAGGGCAUUUUACAUUAAACUUCACAAAGAUUCAGGUGUCUCUGAAAACAGUAUUCUAAAAGAGACAUUUUUCUUCUCAGAAAAACAACCGUUCGUUGUUUCAGCAUAACUGUGAUUUAUUCUCAGAAGUACCACCUACGGUCAGUAGUUUUUCCAGUGAAGAACAAAUUCAACAAACACAUGAGCAUGUGAGUUCUCCUAUUUAGGUCCAAGGGCUUCACACACUGAGCAACCUCAGAUGUUUAUGACCAGCCCAGGAUCAGUCUCACAGCGCCAUGGUGACCCUAUAAUCCUGAAGUGUGUGAAAAAAAGAAAAAUUCAUAGAACUCUUCCUGUUGUAUUUCUAAAGAUUUCUUUUUCAUUUACUGUUGAAGUUGCCACUUUAAUUUGCCUAUGAAACUAAAUGUAUCUUAAUUGUUGUUAAAAUUGAAGUAAAAUGUUAUUUUCCUAGCAUCACUGAUUGGUGAGAAAGAGCUGUUAUCCCCAUACUAUGAUGGGAAAAUUGAGCAUGUCUACAUUGCAGAACACCAGACACAAAUGAGCACCUCUGCCAGCAGAAGCCAUCUCACACAGGUCUUAUUCUCCUCCUGCCAUAUCCACACUUGUGCUGUGCAGGCACACUGAUAGCACUGUCAAAAAGUUAAUUCCUGUUAAAAUUAACUGCUUUACUGGCAAGUUAGUGUUAAUUUGAUGACUUUUCUGCUUUGGUUCAGUCUGCUGUUGCACAAACUCUUAUGUAAGCAAAAGGGAAAGAUGACUUGGGGGCAAUAGGGGGAAGGAACAGAUCUGGUGGAACACAGGCUGCUUUGGUCAUCAGAGGAGCCUGCUGUCAGCUCAUCGUGUUUACAGAACUAAAGCAUAAGCUUACCCUUAAAAGCAAUUCUAUAUCUGACUUUCUCUGAAAUCAAUGCUCUGAAUAUAUCUGAUAUGUCAGAUGUUUCUAAUAGUACAUAUAAUAACAUAAAUAUGCUUCCUAAGAAUACAUACAAAAAGCCAUUUCAAUCCCAGAGGACAAGGAAGCCUUUUAGGAGUAGGAAAAAUCUCAUAGAUUUAACCAAUAUAACAAUGCUAAUAAAUGAAAUAAAGAAAUGUGCAGCUUGUCCUGAGAAUGGUACUGUCAAAAAAACCUCUUCCACAAUCUUUUCUGCACUGGUGGGAGGAGGGACUGUUUUGUAGGGUGAUUCCUUUUAAUCAUAGACAUGCCUUAAGGGCACAAGAUGCUGGCAACGUGGCCAAUCCAAAAGAGAUCGUGGAUUAAUGCUUGUGAAAAGCAGUCCUAGCUAUUCCUUUGUGCAUUGUCCAAACAGCAAAUGAUAACACUGCCUUAAGUCACCCAGUGUUACACCUUCCUAUCCAUAGUGUGAUUUCCCAAAAAGUUGGACAGAAAUCAGUUUCGUUUCUCUGUCUGCAUUCUCUCUUCUGUGUAACUUCAUCUGUUCAGGUUUUCUCUGUAGUACAGCACACACUGCUGAUGCUGAGGGUCCUGCAUGACAGGAGCAGAAUGACAGAACCUUUCACUGAGAAAUGCAGAAAAGCUAUCUUGUCUAAGUGCUGCAUGUCAAGCCAGUGAUGAGGCAUGCACUCUAAAUGCAUUUAUUCCUGAAUUGUUGCAUUAGGUCCUUCAGUUCACUAGCUUCAUGGUAACGUUUUCCAUUUUUCUAUGAAAAGAAAUAAUAAAAAAAAAAGGAUGGAAAAUGAAGAACAUCUUGAAUUCAGGACUUACGUGUCAUAGGUAAAUGAGAUAAAAGUUACACUCACUGAGAGACAAUGUCUGUCUUGUGGCUGAACACCUGAGGCUGUCAUGACUGAACCAUUUUUGACAUAUUUUUCAAGAAACUACCAGAGACUGCUAUGAUCCUCACAAGUUCAUCACAUUAGGUACAGUCAAGUUAAUUAGCAACUAAAGUUCUUGUUCUCAGAUCAUUCACAUUGCACAUUAUUCCUUAUUUCUACUUGCUGUUGGGAAGUUAUUUGCACUUUAAAAUGAGGAUGAGUUAUAAUGCUCAAUAGCUGCUUGUUUGUUUGUUUAACUUAAAUACAUUGUGGCAGAUCUUUUCUAAGGACUUUUCAGUCAUGUGCUACUCCAUCCAACAUUCCCAGUAUCAAAUGCUGUAUAUAUUCUCAGCUAGGACUACGGUUCACUUAGACACAACAAAGAGUGAAUAGGACUAAUUUUGUCCUAUCACAAAAAAACCACCCAUGACAGAAGGUCUGUUAUGAGCUUUACAAAUUACAGAGUGACAUCUUGUAUGCAUUGAGGUCAACAGUGUUUUUUCCACUGAUUUUGGAUGACACAAGGUUAAAUGCAAAGAGUAUGAUACUCUUUCCAUGAAUAACACUAGUGUUUGAAACUAAAACCUUACUCGAAGUAUAUGUUCACCUAUAUAGCCAAAAUCUGUCACUGAGCCUGUAUCACGCAAAAGCUAUAAACAUUGCUUUAAUCAGCUCUGGCUCUGUACAAAAACAAAAACAAACAAACAAACAAACAAAAACCCUAAGUCAUGAGGAAUAAAUCUGUGCUUGCAAUUACUCAAAUUGGUUCAAAGAUAUUUUACUUUGCUCUGUUGGCAAUUAUAUUUGUCAGAUCGUUCAUUUUAUUGGUUGAUGCUACAUUUUUGUAGAUGCCUCUUGUUUUAUUAUUUCUUAUUUAAAGGAGCUGGGAGUCAAUUCUGUUCUAUCUGCAAAAACAAGCAGCAAACAGCUUAAAUGCCAUUGCUUUUCUCACACCUCUGGGAUGAUUACAUAGGACACAAACAUCCAGAGGAGAAAAAAAAAAAAAACAAACUCAGAAGAGCAGAUCUCUUCAUUUACUUCUCUUUUUAUUCAGUCUUAUUAGAGAUAUACAACAGAUUAUCAAUUGCAGCUUUUAAAAUGAAAGAUAUAUACUGAUGCCAAAUAUAGAUUAUUGGAAUUAUUUUAGGUACUGCUUCUGAAAUAAAUAAAUAAAUAAAUAAAUUGUAAAGACAGCAUUCCAUGUACAAUUAUCAUUCCAUGGAAACACAACAGUAAAUGCCAGUUACUUCACUGUGUAUCCCCUGCCAUCUUUGGCACCCGGGCCUUCUCCUUGCACAAGACAGCCUGCAGUUUAUAAAAAAAAAAAAAAAAAACGGCAGCCAGAUAGAAUUGAGGCUUAGCAGGUCUGUGGCAGCAGUACUGUACAGUAGCUUCAGCAGUGAGGACAGAAGUCAGGAGAAUGUGCACAGUGGCAGAAGGCUGGCACUGCACAGCUUCAGCCCUCCCAUCCAUAUCAGGAGUAGAGGAAUAAAGAGUAAUAGGGAAGAAAUUUCAGGGUACCUUUAUUUUGAUUACGUGCUCAUUUGGACUCAUUUGGAUGUACAGUUAUUUUUGGUAGGGUUUGAAAUACAUGUUAACCUGAUUGCUUUUGGUGACAGAGUACACUGUAAGCACAGAUUUGUACAAAACCCCAUGAAGGAGGUCAGGAUAGGUUUCAUGGGCCAGCCUUCAACCCAGCAAGAGCAGCUGAACUGCACCAUUAGUAACAGAAGUCUUUUGAAUCUGCUUUUCAAGGACUCUUGCCCCAGAACAUCCAAAUUCUUGCCCAGUACAAUCUGUCUCUGUGCUUCAGGAUCCUUAUCAUUAAAGGUCUUUCCUUACUUUGAAAUGAAAAUUAUUAUUUCUUUUCUGGUAAAGGACACCACAGGGAACAUACAGGUCUUUUUGAUGGAAAACCAUUCUCAGUAGAAUGUAGUAUGUAUUCAUAAAAGUGUGUAAUUAUAUACACAUCUGUAGAGUACACAAAUGUCGAGAUCUUCUUUGUGAUGUUUCUCUUUUCAUACUUCAAUACAUGAGUCUCUACAAGAACAAUCUUCCUGUGCUGUAUGAGGUCUAGAAAAGAUGAGAAUGUUCUUACACAAGUUUUGUCUUUUCAUAAUUUAAGUAUAUAGUGUAAACUUUAGGUUCUGUGUCUUCAUAAACUAUGCAUGGAGAACAAACUCCUUGUAGAUUGACUCUUCUUCCAUCAACCAUGGAGGGGAUGUGAUCAGCUAGUUUUAGAAGGUUAAAGCAAACAAGAUACAGAUUUGUAUUCCUACAUUUAGGACAUUGUAGACAUAUUCUAUGUACAGUUUCAAAACAACAACAACAACAACAACCUUUGAUCCAGCAGCAUACACACCUGUACAUAUAUCCUUCUCACUACCUCUUCUCUGAUAGGUUUCUCAGCCCUAAAUUACUUUACCACAAGAGCUUUUCUCAACAUGUCAGUGACAAGCACAGUGGUCUCCAUCUACACUAUGAAAGAAAUAUCUCUUAGUACACAUGUGAAGCAGACGUUGCCAUUUGUUGUGAUUUUUCUGAUGUGAUAUGACUAUUUGAGGAUGUAAGGAACACAACCAAAAGCCAUGAAGUCAUCUGAUUAUAUUUCUAGACACAGUAAAUCAGUAUUUUGCCUUUAGUCAGCAGAACUGUACUAUUUAAUGCAAGCUGAGGGCCUGAUUAACAGGACUCCUGAGGAUGAAGGAGCGCACAUAGCCACUCUUGUUACUAUGGUUCACUGUCAGCUAAGUAUCUGUACAAGGAGAGGCAAUAUAAAAAAAAAAUACUCUCCUAUUUCAUUUUGUUUUUUAAAUGUGUAUGUGUAGAUUAAGUGUGAAUAUUUUCGUUUUCUGUUUUAGUGCUGGAGUGAGAAUGAGUAGAAAGGAACAGAGUGCGAAGAGAAGAAUAAGAUAAAAAUGGAAAGCAGAAAUCCUGAGCUGGCCCCACUGAACAACGUGUUCAAACAGCUCUCACACCAACCUCAACUGAGAGAGUGGAUUUUAAAUAAAUAAAUAAAUAAAUAAAACAUUCUUUUUUAUGCUUUACUAUUUGCCACACUUGAGCGCACCUCUAAAAAAAGAUAAGUAAAAUAUUAAAAAGAUGUUUUAAAAGAAUAUAUAAAACCAGUGGAAGAAAGACAGGUAACCUUUGAUAAAAGGAACUUGUGAGAAGACACAUGGGAAUGUAAGAAAAAGUUGAACACAGAUGCUACAGUGGUAAAAAGAUGGAGUAGGAAGCUCAGUAAGCAACUGGGAGAGAACAGAGCCACAAAAUACACCAGCAAGAAUUAGCUUACUGGUUCUGAUGCCAAGGUGAAGAGGACAAAACCAAAAGAAAGACGUCUAAACAAUGUAAGAAGACAGUUUUUAUGUAAUAGAUAUUUGGCUGUAUAUUCUUCGAUCAAACAUGUUUGAUUAAAGUUAAUUUUACUAGAGGCUACCUGUUUUGAAUUCUGUUUUCCACAGAAGGUAUUUUUUCUCAGAAAAUGACCUAUUUUGGAAACCAACCCUCAGAACACAGGAGUCUGCCUUUGUGGAAGUGUUCGUUGUCUUGUGGAGAAGAGGGAAAGUUGAGUGAGAAGCAACACACCUCUGUCUCCCCAGGCUAUUCUUGGCUCAUUCACUUCCCUGAGCAUUAAAUUCAUUCACAAAUUGGGAACUUAUCCCGCUGUUACUUUCUAGCACAUUUGAUAAAGUGAUGAAUCCUGAAUUAGUAUUGCAGUGUUGCUAAGUUUUGAUAAAUGUGCUUAUAAAUUCAUUGCUGCAGAAGAAAAGUCUCUUCUUUAAUCAGAAAUCCUGCUGCUGUCAAUGACAGAAAUAUAGCUUGAAACGAAACAUUCUGAAGAAAGCACCUUGUUAAGAUGUAAUUUUCUUCGUACAUGGCUUUAACAACAACCCAGCCCUAUUUGCAGAGCUAUGGCAUUAGGCUUUACACACCAAAAAUGCUUAGGCUUUUAGUAAACCUAGCAAAUAUUUUGCGGUGCGGCUGACACAUUAACAUGUGUAUUAGUGAGCAGUUGUCCAUAAGGAAUUUGUCAGACUGUCAACAAAGACUAAGACAGCCAGUCCAGUCCCUGCUAAGUGUAAAAACACCUGGAGAUCACAGCAAUCACUCAGAAGGGAAUUAAAGUAAUAGAUUAAUUGACCGUAAGAAUCAUUUUCCUUGUUCAUGAAUCUGGAUUUCCCUUGGCUGCCAGAAUUGUAGAUGAAAGAGAAAAACAUCCUUGACCUUUUCCGUCAAAGAAAAUGCUUCUCUCUUUGUCUAACACACAAAAAUGUGGACUAUUUGAGUGAUUUAAAAGGUCUGAGAAUUGCAAACAAACAAACAAAAAAAAAAGAGUGUCAAUAAAAUAGUAUUCAGCUUCUCAUUUA
ensembl:lncRNA